UACUGGAAUAGCCCUUUAUUUAUUAAAGAAAUUGAAUUUAUUGUUUAAAAACUUCCCACAAAGAAAACUCCUGGCCCAGAUGAUUUCACUGGUGACUUGAAGGAAUAAAUAAUUCUAGACAAACUCUUUCAGUAAAUUGAAGAGGAAAGAUUAUUUCCCAACUCGUUCUCAGAGGAGAGCAUUACCCUGAUACCACAGUUUGACAGAUAUCACAAGAAAAUUAACUUCACACCGGUAUCCCUCAUAAACUUAGAUGCAAAAAUUCUAAACAUAAGUUAUCAAAUCAAAUCCAACAAUAUAUAAAAAUGACAUACAUCAUGGCCAAGUGGGAUUUAUCCUAGAAAUGCAUGAUUGUCUUAACAUUCAAAAAUCAAUCAAUAUAAUUCACAUGGUAAUAAAUUUAUUUAUUUACUUAUUUAUUUUAGGGCUGCACACACGGCAUAUGGAAGGUCCCAGGUGCAGCCCUAAAAAGAAAAAAGAAAAAAAAAUUUAACUUUGAAAAAAAAAGACAAAGAGAUCAAAGGUACAGAAUAGAGUAUUGAAAAAAGACCACAUAUAUGUGGACAACUGAGUUCUGUCGAAGGUGCAAAGGCAGUGCAGUUGAGAGGGGACGGGUCCUGUCAGCAGGUGGGGCUGGAACCGUGGACAUCCACUGCAAACAAAAGAACUUUUAUCCAUAUCUUGCAACUCAAUUCAAAAUGGAUCACAGAUUCAAAUGUAAAAGGUAAAGGAAUAAACUUCUGGAUGAAAACACAGAAGAGAAAACCUUUGUGGCCUUAGGUUAGGGAGUGAGAGAUUACAAACUUUGAGGCAUCAUGGAUAUAUUCAUUUUCUUGAUUGUGGUGUUAGUUUCACAGUGUCUGUGGCACCAAAAUCACAACUCAUGAAGGGAGCCCUCUAGGGAGAAGGAUGAAUGAGUUCACUGCGCCUCUAAACUUGGGUCUUUGGGGGCCCCAGCUGGUCUCCCCCUCAUUUCCCACCUCCACCCUCUGAGUCCAGGUGACUGGAGUUCAGGCUCACAGGGUAGCAGGGUUCAAGGGAAUCACCCUAUGUCUCCCUGCCACAUACAAAAGAAAUCCCGUCCCGCCUGUGCAUUCACAGAAGAGCUUGCGCUUACAAGGAAGAUGUUCAGGACAAAGAUCUGAGCGGCUCCACCCCCCCAAUCACACCAAAAAUAACAGUACUAAUAAAAGCAAUAACAAUAACUCCUGCAGUACAACGACUUUGUUAACGGCAGCUAACAUUUGUUGAUCACUUAUCCGAACCAAGCCCUUCCAUGAGCAUUUCUUGGCACUGUUUCAUUUGAUACUCAUUACAGACCUCUAGGGAGGGUGUUCUUAUUAUCCCUCUGGAAUAGGUGGGGGAAACCAGUCCUGGAGAGGUUAGACAGCUUUCCCAAGGCUACAGAGCUACUAGGAGCCGGGUGGGAAGACACACUCAGACACCUAAUCUGAGGCCACAUUUUGGUCAUUCAUCGGGCCAGAUACAGAGCCAGGGUGAGCAAAGAGCAGCUUCAAAAGGAUCCCUGGGGUUGUGGACAUCAGCAGUCAGGGGCAAAAUAGCCAUGGCAACUACAGAAGGCAAAUGAUCUGUUCCAUAUCCAUUUGCCACUAAAACAGUGUUCUCUGGAGCUGUAGUCUGGGUUAUGCACUUUUUUCCUAGAACCUCUACCCUCAUCACUGAAAUUCAGGGUUUUUUUACAUCCUGGGGAGGGAUUUCCCAGACACAGGAUUUUCAUACUAACACUGGGGCAGUCCCUGGAUGUUUGGCCACCUCAUUCUGGACACAGCUGCAAGGCCAGACACAGUGGUGACCACGCUAAGUCCAGCAAGGUCCUCAUGCCCAACUGGUCACCAAAAGGUGAUGUGAAGCCUUGGUUCAGCACGCCCAGCAUGGGUUAUUUUUCUUUCUUCUGUUUUGCUGCCCCAUGGCAUAUGGAAGGCCCAGGCCAGGGAUCAGAUCCAAGCCACAGUUGUGACCUAAGACGUAGCUGCAGCAAUGCCAGAUCCUUAACCCACUGUGCUGGGCAGAGGAACAAACCUGCAUCCCAGCCCUCCCAAGACCAUCCCACUGCACCACAGUGGGAACUCCUUGGGUUAUUUAACAUCAGGCCCCUCAGAGCCUUAACUGAAUUCCUCUGAUCCCUCCCUGCAAAGGCAUGGGAGCUAGAUCCCAGACAGAUCAUUUGCAGCAAUUUAUAAUUAAUUUAUGCCGCCUGAAACAUCCCACUGGGUCAGUCUCAUUCUUCACCCAGUUAAUGAAAGGAUUGAUUUUAAGGACACCUUUGAUCAGUAAAAGCAUGAUUAAGACUUCCUCCCCUUUCCUCUUCUCUAGGAAUGAGCAAUGAACCUUCGGUCAUAGAACUGCCUUCAGUUCUCCCGACAAAUGAGCUUGCUGCAAUCCUGUGUUUAAUUAGUCUCUCAGAUGAAAUUGCGGUGCCCCUGCUCUAGAUUUCAUUCAUAAGCUCACUUAUUUCGCCUAUGGCAGGCUUUGUAUUGACUCACUCAUUUACUGAGGGGCCAUAUGGUGCACACAGAGCAAAGCAACGAUGCAUCAAGCCGAAACCCAGCGGGAGCAGAGGAGAAGCCAGCACCGUCCGCCAGCUGACAUUUAAUUGACCGUCUACUAUGUGCCACCAGCCAGGCCCAAGGCCUGGGGUGUUCAGAGAUGAGCAAGAGGCACAGACACUGCCCUAAGGCAGAGUUUCUCAACCUUAGCACGACUGAUUUUCAAUGCUGGAUAAUUCUCAGCUGCUGGGCUGUCCUGUGCAUUGUAGGCUGUAUAGCCAUUAUCUCAGACCUCUACCCACUAGAAGCUAGAAGAACUGACCCCACUCCCAGUGACAACCCAAGAGAUCACCAGACAUUGUCAAAUGUCCGUAAGGGGCAGAGUUGCCCCCAGGUUUAAAACCUUAAGGUGCUUGAAUCUAGAAUAGCAACUAAGACAACUACACAAAGCUUCAUGACAAACGCCAUCAUGGCAGGAGUACAGCGGCUGUAAGCUCCAGUGCACUUGGGGGUCCAGAAAGGGGGAUGCUAGGAAGGCAAUGGGGACGUUUCUAACUGAAGAGGACAACCUGCUCAGCUCCAGCCAAGUAUCACCAGAUACGCUGACAUUCCCUGUGGAUUCUGAAAUCUGGGCUUCUGUGUGAAAUUUCCCAAUCUCUCAAUGUUUUCAACCAGUUAAAAAUAUUUUUAGAACAAUGUAAACCCCAAUCAUAAAUAAAUAAAUAAAAAUAUUGAGGACCUUAUUCAUCCAGAUGUCCCUUCUGCAUAGAAAAUUGGGCAGCACCUGAGUCCUGGCAUCACCUCUGGCUCCCUUCCACCUCUGGGCAUGGGGUCUGUUUCUAGGCAUUGGAGAGUAAUCCAUAUGACUGAGCUUGAACAGCAGUUCUUGAUGCCCAUUCAAACCACCUGGAGAUAUUUAAAAGCCCAUCAAUGCACCAACCUCACACUAGACCAAUUAAACCAGAAUCAGGAAGUAGGGUACCAUUGUCCGUGUUUAUAAAACUCUCCCCAGCUGCUUCUAACAUUCAUUGGUGUCGAAGCAAACCAGCAUGUGUGAAAGCCCUUCUCCAGGCAGUGUGUGGAUUAAGAUCCAGGCCCCCAGACUCAGACUGCCUGGGUCCAAAUCCAGCCCCACCACAGGCAAUUAUCAAGUCUGAGAGAAAUCCAGUCCAGGCCUCAGGGUCUCUGUCUGUUAAAUGGAGAUCACACUUGUAUAAAAAGACAGAAUUGCUAAAAGUGGGGCCCAGACAUUAGUGUUUUUUACAUUUCCAGAUGUUUAUAAACAGCAAUCAGGGUUGCUAUAGAGAAGCAGGAAUUGGGUUCCUGCCAGCUCUAAUGCUCUAUGAAUUUCCCUUUGUGUGGAGAGGAAAUGAGUCCUAGAUACCCACUAAGUCUGGAACUGAGAUGCCCCAUUGGGAUCCCUCAAGAAGGACUGGAGAUAAAGAGCCAGAUGCUGACUGUUCCAAACAAAAACUCCAAAGGGACAUGAUACAACCUCCUACACACACAAUCAUAAGCUGCCAGGAAGAAGACAUACCUUGAAUAUCAGUCUAUAAGGAUUCAACAUGCGAGGGCCACUCUGCUACCGUGAAGGGUCUUCCCAAGACACUCAAAGAGCCUAACAUCCAAACACUGCCUAUCUCAAAGCAUCUGAUUCAGUGUCAUGUUGGUAAUAUUUCCAUUAUUCUCCUGAACUUCUGUAACGAGAUGCUAACAAUGGGCCUUCUAUUUUGGACACACACAUUUAUCAUUUGAUUAGGAAAGAUUACCUAUAUUUAGAUAAAACAUAUAUCCCCUAACAGGGAUGGACAGUUAUAAAUAGCUUGGGAAGCUCUAGUCGAUGCCCAAAACAUCAUGAUUUAGGUUGAAAGAAAAAGCCUUUCUGAUCACUGUCCUUUCGUGUUCUCCAGCACAUUUUUCAUGUUUACCUGCUGUCACCCCAGAUAAGCAAUCACCUUGGCUGCAUCCCAUUUUGUCACAAGCUAAGGUAGGAGGAAGAAUUGUCACAAUCAAAUGGGCAGGAUCAAGGCUCCGGGGAGGAGAGGCUGGGGUCUGGGGCCUUUGCCCUGCAAUCAGUUAAUUAGCCUACCUCCAAUUUGUGUAGGAAAGCUCUUGGGGGAGCCACAGACAUGGCUCCAAUUUAGGCCUCUGCUCAAGCUCUCAGAUGGAAGAAGGACUGGAAGGAAGCCAAGCCUUUCCUUCCACACUGAAAUGGAGACCUGGCUCUUGAGUAGGAUUGCUUCCUUCCCUGGCCAUUGAAACAGCUCAGCUAGGUUCUGAUGCAAAAGGAAAAACACAACCAAUGACUAUAGCUGGGAAAUGUUGAGCAAAAAAAGAAAUGUUGUGGUAUUGGUUUAGAACCUGAGUUUAAAAUAAAAUCCAGGAAUCCAGAAGACCCUUCCAAUUCUAGGAAGAUGGACUAGACAUGCUUUUUCCUUUUUUUUCCACUAUGUAUAACUAAAAACCCUAAUCAUAUAUAAAAUACACAUAAAUAGACUAAAGGGAAGAAGGCAGACCAGCUACAGAAUCCAGUGUGCAUGAAAUGACACUGUGAAUUCCCUGAGUUUUAUUUUUGCUCAUAUCCCGCCCCACCCCCACCUGCGUGGAAUUAAAGAACCCAGAAAGGCCAAUACACACACACACACACACAAACAAGCCCCAAUAAAAGCCUGCUCUCUCUAGCCAAAAGGCUAGGAAAGAACACUUGUAGCCAUUAACCACUCUACUCCAGUAAAACCUCACAAUAAAAACUAUAGUUCCACCUCUACCCAUGACAGCCAAGGCCAAAUGGGGAACCUAGAUUUCAACUCUCUUGAGGCUGUAAUAAGGGGCCCCAGAUGGUAUCAGAGAAGAUAAGUAGGGAGCCAGGGUUUUACCUACUCCUGCAGAGUGGUAAUGAGCCCCCAACCCUCAGUGUCAGUGAGACCACAUGAGGAACAAGAACCCCUAACCAGCAAUAACGAGAAGCCUCCACCUCGGAUGUCAACAUAGCAAGUAAGAAACCUGGACUUCCACCCCUACCUGGGAGCAACAAGGCAGCACUAUAACUUCUCCUUCAGAAGUGGUAUCAGAGAAGUCCAGCUGAAAUAAAAGGAUUAAAUAAGAUACAGACUCUCACGGUAUAAUACUAGAAUGCUCAGAUUUCAGUCAAAAAUCACUCAUAUGAAGACCCAUGACGAGCUCAAACGAAAUUAAAAAAGACAAGUAAUAGAUGCCAAUGAAAAGAGGACAGGAAUGUUAGAAUUACAUGACAAAGAUUUAAAAGCAGCCAUGAUAAAAAUGCUUCAACAAGCAAUUACAAAUGCAUGUGAAGCAAAUAAAAAGGUAGAAAACUCAGCAAAGAAGGGCCAGAAAGUUUGGAAGUGAAAAAACACAAUAACUGAAAUAAAAGCUCAGUGGAUGGGCUCAGUGGCCAAAUGGGAAACAGAAGAAAAGAAUCAGUGAACAGGAUGACAGAAUAGAAAUUACCCAAUCUGAACUAAAGAAAGAAAAGAGACUUUAAAAAAAAAAAAAGGAGGAAUUAGAGCCUUGGGGACCUAUAAAAAUCUAACAUGCCUGUCAUCAGUGUCCUAGAGGAGAGAAGAGACAGGGUGGGGCUGAAAAGGUACUCAAAGAAAUAAUGGCUGAAAACUUCCCAAAUUUAGCAAUUUGAGAAGAUGAGUAAAUCCCAAACAGGAUAAACCCAAAGAAAUUCACAUAAAGGCAUACCACAAUUAAAAUCUAAAAACUGAAGAUAAAGAAAAAAAUCUUAAAAGCAGUCAGAGAAAAAUGACAAUUUGCUUUUAGGGAGAAAUAAUUAGAAUGACAGUGGAUUUUCUCAUCAGACACCAUGGAGGCCAGCAAGAAGUGGCACAAUAUUUUCCAGGUGGCAAAAGAAAGAACUAUUAACCUAGAAUCCCAUACCCAGCAAAAAUACCCUACAGGAAUGAAGGGUAAAUAAAAACAUUCUCAGAUUAAAGAAAACUAAGAGAAUUUGUUUCCAGCAGAUCUACUCUAAAUGAAUGGCUAAAGGAUGUUCUCUAAACAAAAAAACAAUGAAAGAAAAAAAAAAAACUUACAAUACCAAGAAGAAAGGAAGAACAUGAUAAAAAAAAAAAUGUGGAAAACCUUUCACAGAAGAGAGGGGAAUAACUCCCAAUUCAUUUUACCAAGCUAUUAUCACCCUGUUACCAAUACAAAAAGAGAAAACUACAGACCAAUAUUCCUCUUCAACAUAGAAACAAAAAUUCUUAACAAAAUACUAAAAAAUAGAAUUCAGCAAUAUUUAAUAAGAAUUAUACUCUAAUACCAACUGAGUUUUAUUUCAUGGAUGCAAGUCUGGUUCAAUAUUAAAAAAUCAAUCAAUAUAAUCCAUCAUAUUAACAAGCUAAGAACAAUCACAUGCUCAUCUCAAAUGAUGCAAAAAAAAUCAUUUUACAAAAUUCAAAACACAUUCAUAUUAAAAACUCUCAGCAAACAAAAAUAGAUUUUCUCAAUUUGAUAAAGAGCAUGUGCAAAAACCUACAGCCAACAAUGUACUUAACGGUGAAAGAGUGAGGCUUUCUCUCUAAAACUGGGAACAAGGCAAGGAUAUUUAUUCUUUUUCUAAAUUUUUUUUAUGGCUGCACCCAUGGCAUAUAGAAGUUCCCUGGGCCAGAAAUUGAAUCUGAGCCAUAGCUGCAACCUAUGCCACAGCUGCAGCAACACUGGAUCCCUUUAACCCACUGCACCAGGCCAGGGAUCAAACCCACACCUCACAGUGACCAGAGGUGUUUCAGUCAGAUUCUUAACCCCCUGUGCCAUAGUGGGAACUCCCAAGGAGAUUUAUUCUUUUUGUUGUUGUUGU
rnacentral:lncRNA from 1 species